UGCGGCGACCAUAUUGAAUUGGCCACACCUGUUCCCUUCCCGAACACAGUAGUUAAGCAAUUCAAGCCGAUGAUAGUACUGCAAGUGCGAAAGUAGGUAUUGCCGCUU
rnacentral:rRNA from 1 species